GGAGGCCCGGGGCCCGGUGUUCCGCACGUUCUAAACCGCCUGUCCCCGAGGAAGGCGGGCAGGGUCGGGCCGGGCUCAGCGCCGCUGGCGGGAGCGCCGUCCGCCCCGAGGACCCCUGCGGGACGGCGCCGGGCCCGGAAGCCGAGACGGGGCCGCCCACGUCAGCGCCCGGCGCGGGCCCGAACGUAAAUGGCGCUCCCUUCCCGCUCCGCCAGCAGCCGCCCUCGCGCUCGCUUCUCGCCCCGCGGCCUGGCCCGUGCGCCUCCGAGGAGUUUGUCCUUGCGGUCCCGCUGUCCCCUGGGCUGGCCAGGGGCACCGAGGCCGCGGGCCCCCCAUCGCCCCCACCCGGGCCCUGAUUUACCGUCCGAGAGCCGGCGGCACAUGGGACCCCAGGAGGAGAAGCGCGCCCGCCCCAAAACCAUGGCAUGGAGACGGAAUGAUGCAGACUCCUAUCUGCGAGACACCUGCUGUAGUUUCGCUGUGGUUCGUGAGGACGCGUCCUGGGCUGCCCUGAGAAGCCCACGUCUCCCCUUCGAGGCCUGGGAAGACCUCCGACCCCGCUGACAAUGCUGGGCCCUCGGCCAGACCUGCCUUGCGUGCCACUUUCUGUUCUAAGAUCGGGCUGCCGAGCUGUGGCCUGGAGGAAACCUGGCAGGUGUCACCAGAGCUUUGGGGAGGGUGGGGCCCUGUCGGGGAAGCCCAGUGGAAGUCAUGAAGGAGGGAACACGUGUGGAGCCCUUGUAGGGGGAGG
rnacentral:antisense_RNA from 1 species